rnacentral:rRNA from 1 species
AACCGUACGAACGUUAUUCGGAAUUACUGGGCUUAAAGGGUGCGUAGGCUGCACGGAAAGUUGGGUGUGAAAGCCCUCAGCUCAACUGAGGAAUUGCAUCCAAAACUGCCGUGCUAGAGGGAGACAGAGGUGAGCGGAACUCAAGGUGGAGCGGUGAAAUGCGUUGAUAUCUUGAGGAACACCGGUGGCGAAAGCGGCUCACUGGGUCUCUUCUGACGCUGAGGCACGAAAGCUAAGGUAGCAAACGGG